GAUGUUCCACUGGGCAGGAAGCAGGGGUCAAGGGGAUGCUCCAGGAGCAGGGAUUUGUGAUUGGAGUUGGACCUUCUACUCUGUGGGAGUAGCUGGGAGAGUGGAGAUUUGGAAAGGGGAGCUGAAAGAUCAGAGAAGCAUCAUCCACAAGUGCAUCUGAGAGGACCUGCCCUUGAAGAGGGGCCAUGAGGGAGUUUGGCGAAAGGUCUGCGGGAAGCUGUUUCCUUUGUGCUGUUCUGGGUGUCUGGCUCCCGGUCAGCUGGGCUGAGCGUGCAGAGAAUGAGCUGGACACACAGCAGAGGACAGCGAGGACCCACUGAGCCCCACCAGGCAUUUCUAGGGGAACUGCUGAGCCCAAAUAGGAAAGCUGGCAUGGAGGCUAGGACCACUACAAGGAGCCGGGGGAGAGGUGAGAACAUGGGGCAGGGUGCAGUAAAGCAGGGUGGCACCCAGAGAUAGGCUGGGUCUGGAGAGCAGCACCAAGCCACCGGCAUGUGCCUCAGGGUACCUUGGAUGCGCUGGGCACCUUGAGGGCUGCUGGGGAAGGAGACGGCUUGAAGCCAACGGCCUGUGGCUGAGCAAGUAGUUUCUAUUGGGAGACAAAUGAAAGUUCUUCUGGGGCUGUGGCUACAAAAGGUUCCCCUCAGAACAGCAGGUCCCUCAGCAUCCCACUCCUGUACUCCCGACUUCGUGCCCUUGGGUUCCACAACUGAACGAUGGACACUUACUUCCCAACUCGCUGUGAAGACUGACUGAUGUGCAGGUAGGUUGCCUUGGUGGUGACUGUGAUGAUCGUGCCUGUUAUGUUUUAGUUAAAGAGAAAAGCUCAGGGACUUUCCCAAGACACACAGCUGGCCACCGAAGAGCUGGAACUCAAACGCAUGUGUCCUGACUCAAAGCCCAGUGCUCCACCAGGUAAAACAUGUUAGCAAUUGCUGUGUUCUGUCUGGCGUAUCCUAAAACAGUAUCAUCUCCCCAUUUAUAGAGUAUGAGGUUGGAGGUGGUUUUCCUCUGCUGCAGUCUUGCUCACCUUUUCCUCCCGAUUCCCAUUGCAAAAUAGUCAAUUAGCAUUCCUGCGAGUGAAAGAAAGCCGACCUUGGGCUGAGCUGAUUGUCCUGAGUAAUCCCUCAAGCCCAGGCCAGUAGCCAAGGCUGGUGGGGCCUGAGUCCUCGCCUCUUGGGCUGAGGGACCCUAAGCAGGGAGCAUCAAGGGCCAGUGUCCUGGUGUUAGUGAUAGAUAGAAAUGGCAAGACUCUGAAGAGGGAGCGGAGAGAAGGUUCCAUGGCACAAGAGGCAAAUGGCAGCCGUUUCAUGGAUGAUAUAGAAAGAGCUGGUUCGACUGUGAACUGGGUGGUUCGGAGCCCCCUGGCCACCCUCUCUCCUUACCGUUGUGGUUUCUCUACAGCCGUCCUCUUCUUCCCUGUCUGGGUCUCACCCUGCUAACCCCACUGACAACUUGAAGAGGAAACACUUUCAUUCCAAACCUUGAGAGAUGAGCAGAGUGUGCUUAGUGCUAAAGACAAUUACAGGCAUAGGGCAAAGAUGGUAAAGCCAGGCCACCCAAGCUGCAGUUUCCUCGAAUUUCUCUCACUUUCCUUCAGUGGCACAAGGGUGAUGCUCAGGCACCGGGAUCACCGUGUGGAGGGAAAAGCAGAGGCUCCCGGCUGGGUCAGCCAGGGCUGCAGGAAGGUCACCGCAGUGCUAUAAAGGGCUGAAGAACUUGGUCGCCAUCAGCAAUGCAUCUGCAGCUUCAUUUCCUGUGUUGCUCUUCUGGGAAAACUUUUGGCAAAGGAGAAUCGGUAUGGGGCGUGGUGGGAGGGUAUCAGAUCUGAGGGCAGCUCCAGAUGCAAGCUGUUGUUUGCAGAGGAAAUGUGCUCUGAUAGACAAGGAACCCAUCGGACAGCUGUUUGGGGGUCCUCGAUAUAUUACAUUUUAAAAGGAAAGGAAAAAGCAUUGCCUGUGAAA
ensembl:lncRNA